ACCAGUAUCUAUUUACUGAACGGCUCAACAUUGGUAUAUAUAAUACUAACAUUUUGCACAUGUUCAGAAUUCCCCAGAUUGUAAGCAGUGGGGGUACAGGGGAAAGGUCUUUUGUUGUUAAAAGUCGUAGAUUAAGACACACAUAACACACGUAAUUAUCAAGAAAGAGUCUGUCAUUAUUCCCCAUGCAGACGUUAGUUUGUCAAUAACAUUUCUUAAUAGUGGUAAUAAAUCAAUUACCUUGGCAUAGUAAUAUUUAAAAUAAAGAUUUAACUGUAAAGAUACUUAGCAAUAUUUCAUGUGAAAGAGAAUUUAAACAGAUGCUAUUGCUUAUGUCAUAGCAAGGUGUACUGGAUACAUGUACAAGAAUCUUGAGGAUUGGGCUAAUUAUUCCUGAUAUGAUGAGGAAACGCAUAUCAUACGUCGAAUGAUGUGCCUACUGUGUAUGUCUAUUAAAUUUUAAGGAGUUCUUUAUAGAGUGCUAACUUAUUCCAAAGCUUAUAGACUUACCUUUUCAAUUUCUGCAUUGCCUCUCAAGAGAAAUAGCU
rnacentral:lncRNA from 1 species